GAUGAACGCUGGCGGCGUGCCUAAUACAUGCAAGUCGAGCGAACGGACGAGAAGCUUGCUUCUCUGAUGUUAGCGGCGGACGGGUGAGUAACACGUGGAUAACCUACCUAUAAGACUGGGAUAACUUCGGGAAACCGGAGCUAAUACCGGAUAAUAUUUUGAACCGCAUGGUUCAAAAGUGAAAGACGGUCUUGCUGUCACUUAUAGAUGGAUCCGCGCUGCAUUAGCUAGUUGGUAAGGUAACGGCUUACCAAGGCAACGAUGCAUAGCCGACCUGAGAGGGUGAUCGGCCACACUGGAACUGAGACACGGUCCAGACUCCUACGGGAGGCAGCAGUGGGGAAUCUUCGACAAUGGGCGAAAGCCUGACGGAGCAACGCCGCGUGAGUGAUGAAGGUCUUCGGAUCGUAAAACUCUGUUAUUGGGGAAGAACAUAUGUGUAAGUAACUGUGCACGUCUUGACGGUACCUAAUCAGAAAGCCACGGCUAACUUCGUG
rnacentral:rRNA from 1 species